AGAUGCAGAUUGGGCGUAAAGCGUGCGCAGGCGGUUUUGUAAGACAGAGGUGAAAUCCCCGGGCUCAACCUGGGAACUGCCUUUGUGACUGCAAGGCUGGAGUGCGGCAGAGGGGGAUGGAAUUCCGCGUGUAGCAGUGAAAUGCGUAGAUAUGCGGAGGAACACCGAUGGCGAAGGCAAUCCCCUGGGCCUGCACUGACGCUCAUGCACGAAAGCGUGGGGAGCAAACA
rnacentral:rRNA from 1 species